GGAGGUGCUCCAGCCCUCUGAUCAUCUUCAUGGCCCUCCUCUGGACCCUCUGCAACAGCUCCACAUCCUUCCUGUACUGGGGGCCCCAAACCUAGAUGCAGUACUCCAGAUGGGGCAUCUCAUAAUAAGUCUCAUUAUCCUCUGAGCAGUAGCCCCGUCAGUCUGUAAAGUGCUCUGGGCAUCUUUCCUUUGACUCAGCAUUACAGAUGUUACCUCUGGAGCCUGAGCAAAUGGAUGUCUUCUGAUGGACUUGAGAAUAAUCCUGUAAGAGUUUUAUUCAGAUUCUCCCAACUGUCAUUGUUCCUCUGUGCUCCUUUGUGUACAAAGGCAAGCAUUUUAUCACAUAACCUAAUACAACGUAGGUUUGCUUGUAUUUUAGCAACUGUAUCUCCCUCUGGAGCUGGAUUGGGUGCCUGAACCAAGACAGCAGAAAAUAUGGGUUUAUUGCAUGAGGCUGAAUUAAUACUCCAGAACAACCACAGCAAAUGGAGGAAAGGCACUUGCAUUUUUUCACUGCACUAUUGUUUAUGAGCUGUAUUUCUUGUAUUUGUUUUUUAAUGCAGAUGACUUCUUUCCUGUCUUUUCAUUUUGCUCUUUUUUCUUGUUCUUUUAUUUUUUUUCCUGCAGUCUUACAGUCUGAGAGGUUUGUUUGUUUUUUGUUUUUUUCUGUGAUUCUAGGAUUAAUACUAUGACAGAAUUUUGUUUAAAAUGCAAUGUCCCACUCUGGGUUAAACUGUUUUGCUGGUACCUAUUUACUAGUUCAUGUUUGAUCUUUGUUUACAGGUCUCAAAAGGUAUUCAUCCAAUAUUAGACCAUGUCUGACCAGCUACAAUCAGAACAAUACAGAAAAAAUAGGAUUUUUUUGGAGGUUUUUUUUUUCCUUUAUGUGCCACGUGGAUGUUGACCUCCUUUAUGUUAGAGCAGAUAGCAGACCGAGGAGUGCUUGGAUCAUGCUCUAGCAUACUUAAAACAUUCUGGACAAGCCACAAAACCUUGUCAGGCAUUUAUAAUUAUGCUUCCCUCAACAUACUCUUCUGACUACUCUAAGAUGGCUCAGCCCUAGGGACAAUUUUAUAGACCGAUUUUGAUUUCAGAUUCUCCCACUUUUAUACUUGGCUCCUUUCUGAGUCUUUUUUUCUUUUUUUCUACCUAGUGGAGAAUCCAUGAUAUAUUUAUCUCAACUGCCACUAGUGAAAACAGCAUCUGAUCAUCAGACUUUGCCAGUAAGAUUCUCACUUGAAUCCAGGUGUGUCAGUGGUUUCCUGAGGUAGUACUAAAAUUUCUCUAAUUUCUAAAGGGAGCCUAUAAACAGGAGAGGAGCCAACACUUUGAAAGGGUAGAUAAUAGCAGGACAAGGGGAAAUGGUUUUACAUUGAAGGAGGAAAGAUUAAGGUUGGAUAUCAGGGGGAAGUUCUUUACCAAGAGAGCGGUGAGGUGCUGGAACAGGCUGCCAAGAGGGGUUGUGGAUGCCCCGCCCCUGGAGGUGUUCAAGGCCAGGUUGGAUGGGGCCUUGGGCAAUCUGGUCCAUCUAUUAAAUGUAGAGGUUGGCGGCCCUGCUUGAUGAUCCUUGGGGUGCCUUUCAACCCAAGCCAUUCUAUGAUUCUCUGUUCUGGACUCCAUUUAGAAUCUGUCCAGCAGAUGUAUCUGCAGGCCUCCAUCCAUGCUACGUAAGCGAGACAUGGCUUCUUUUUUGAUAGUGAUUGUUUUUCACCCAUGCUGUGCAAGAGAUGACUUAUUCUUCAAUUUCAGGUGAUGCAAAUAUCUGCUUAAAAACUGGACAUGAAGAAGACUUAACCGAAUACGUCUUUGACAUAUGGAUUUAGGAUAUCCCAUCCAAGCCAGGUGUAAUUUGAUGAGAAGUAUUUGUCAAGAUUCUAUGCCAGUCCAUAAACUUGUGAACCACUGUACAGAGCUUUGUACAUGAGGAACUCCUUGCUAGCCACUGGAUGACUUCCAGGAGGACUCUGUUGCAAGGAAACUCUUGAAUCAACUCCCUCAUUGUUUGGAAAGUUUAGCUCAUUGUGGUUUGGAUGAUCAGUGCUUAUUCCAAGAGUUCAUCCUAUGAAUUUCUCUGGGGUGGACAUAGCUAAACCUUUGAAUCCUCUGACUACUUGCAACUUGGAUUUCAUUUUUUCAAUGGCAGUGUUUUUAUGGAUCUGGCCACAGUCCUUCGGCAGACUCCUGCUUCCUGCCUCCCACAACUGGAAAACCUGAUAGAAUGAAUCAAUACAUAGAUGAGCAGAGCUCUUAAAUGCUUUCUCUUUGCCAUCCUUCUGAGAUUUUGAGAAAACAAAACAUACUACUACAUUUACAGAUUUUAAUAUUAUGUUUCCAGCAGUUGUACAGGAGACUGUUUCCAGUAUCAGAUAAAUGGAAUCAGGGCCCUUAUCAGACCCCUUCUGCCAUUGGAUCUUUCUACCGUUCUAUUAAGUACAACAAGGAGAAAACAUAAGCAAAUAGUGGGUGUACAGAAGUAACAAAACCUAAAUGUUUUAUGCAGAAAAGAUUCAACAAGUAUCUCCUAUCUACGAAGAAUGAAUCGUUUUUUCACAUUCUGUGGCAUUGCAGUACAGUCUUGGAUCAAACCACACAUGCUAACAAAAAAUAAUUGAAUGAUGCUAUUUACACUGAUCUGAUGAUGUGGAAAUAAAAUAUUGAAAGGAA